rnacentral:snRNA from 1 species
UGCUUUGGCAGCAUGUAUGCAAAAAAAAAAAACUGGAACGAUACAGAGAAGAUUAGCAUGGCCCCUGCACACAGAUGAUGCACAAAUUCACAAAGUGUUCCAUAUAACA